AUCAGAAGCCAACCGUGUUCAGCCGUGGCAACAUGGCUGGGCGCGUUGACCUUCUGGUGACUCUGGAUAAUUGUUACAGAUCGCAGUCGGCCUUGAGUCGGCGACGGGUCCUUCAAAUGUCUGCCCUAUCAACUUUCGAUGGUAGGUGACCUGCCUACCAUGGUGAUAACGGGUAACGGGGAAUCAGGGUUCGAUUCCGGAGAGGGAGCCUGAGAAACGGCUACCACUUCCAAGGGAGGCAGCAGGCGCGCAAAUUACCCACUCCCAGUACGGGGAGGUGGUGACGAAAAAUACCGAUGCGGGACUCCUUAAAGAGGCUCCGUAAUCGGAAUGAGUGGACUAUAAAUCCUUUCACGAGGAUCAAUUGGAGGGCAAGUCUGGUGCCAGCAGCCGCGGUAACUCCAGCUCCAAUAGCGUAUAUUAAAGUUGCUGCAGUUAAAAAGCUCGUAGUUGGAUCUCGGUAGCGCUGUUGCCUGUUGGUCUUUGGGUGGAUGGUUGCCGUAGCUAUGUCGUUGUCGUUGGCGGUGCAUGGGCGUGACCCGUGUUACUGCAGAUGCGGCGUUGGCUGCGGCGGCAGCUGUGCAUUCCAAGCUAGCGGGGUAGCGGUGCGACCUGUAAGCCAUGUCUGUGGUGAAAACUGCCGGUGUGAGCGAGUGUCGGGCGACGUCCUGCGGUAGUGGGGCUUGUCGGCUCGUUUGCAUGCCUCUGGAUGCCCUUAAAAAGGUGUCUGUGGGCGGAUGGCACGUUUACUUUGAACAAAUUUGAGUGCUCAAAU
rnacentral:rRNA from 1 species